rnacentral:sRNA from 1 species
UCGCUACCCCCAAGGCCAGUGACUGGCCC